rnacentral:rRNA from 1 species
GGCGGCACGCCUAAUACAUGCAAGUCGAACGAAGUAGCAAUACUUAGUGGCAGACGGGUGAGUAACAUGUGGGUAUCUUCCCUUUGGUGAGGAAUAACACGAGGAAACUUGUGCUAAUACCUCAUAAGUCUUUACGGAGAAAGCUUUAUGCGCCAUUGGAUGAGCCCGCACUUGAUUAGUUUGUUGGUGGGGUAAUGGCUCACCAAGACAAUGAUCAAUAGCUGAUUUGAGAGGAUGAUCAGCCACAUUGGGACUGAGACACGGCCCAAACUCCUACGGGAGGCAGCAGUAGGGAAUCUUGCACAAUGGGGGAAACCCUGAUGCAGCGAUGCCGCGUGAGUGAAGAAGGCCCUUGGGUUGUAAAGCUCUUUCGUCGGGGAAGAAAAUGACUGUACCCGAAUAAGAAGGUCCGGCUAACUUCGUGCCAGCAGCCGCGGUAAUACGAAGGGACCUAGCGUAGUUCGGAAUUACUGGGCUUAAAGAGUUCGUAGGUGGUUAAAAAAGUUGGUGGUGAAAUCCCAGAGCUUAACUCUGGAACUGCCAUCAAAACUUUUUAGCUAGAGUAUGAUAGAGGAAAGCAGAAUUUCUAGUGUAGAGGUGAAAUUCGUAGAUAUUAGAAAGAAUACCAAUUGCGAAGGCAGCUUUCUGGAUCAUUACUGACGCUGAGGAACGAAAGCAUGGGUAGCGAAGAGGAUUAGAUACCCUCGUAGUCCAUGCCGUAAACGAUGUGUGUUAGACGUUGGAAAUUUAUUUUCAGUGUCGCAGUGAAAACAAUAAACACACCGCCUGGGGAGUACGACCGCAAGUAAACCAAUGGAAUGACGC